GAUUAACGCUGGCGGUACGUCUAAUACAUGCAAGUCGAACGGGGUAGGUAACUACCCAGUGGCGAACGGGUGAGUAACACGUAGGUAACCUGCCUACAAGUUGGGGAUAACACAAGGAAACUUGUGCUAAUACCGAAUAAUGAUGUUUUUAGGCAUCUAAAAACAUUUAAAGGACCGUUAGGUCUGCUUGAAGAGGGGCCUGCGGCGCAUUAGUUAGUUGGUAAGGUAAUGGCUUACCAAGACGAUGAUGCGUAGCUGGACUGAGAGGUUGAACAGCCACAUUGGGACUGAGAAACGGCCCAGACUCCUACGGGAGGCAGCAGUAGAGAAUCUUCGGCAAUGGGGGAAACCCUGACCGAGCGAUACCGCGUGAGUGAUGAAAUACUUCGGUAUGUAAAAUUCUUUUAUUAAAGAAGAAUGAUAUAAAUAGGCAAUGAUUUAUGAGUGACGUUAUUUAAUGAAUAAGUCCCGGCUAACUAUGUGCCAGCAGCCGCGGUAAUACAUAGGGGACGAGCGUUAUCCGGAAUAAUUGGGCGUAAAGGGUGCGUAGGCGGUGUGUUAAGUUCAAGGUUUAAUCGUAGGGCUCAACCCUAUAUCGCUUUGAAAACUGGCACACUAGAGUAAGAUAGAGGCAAGUGGAAUUCCAUGUGUAGCGGUAAAAUGCGUAAAUAUAUGGCAGAACACCAGAGGCGAAGGCGGCUUGCUGGGUCUUCACCGACGCUGAGGCACGAAAGCGUGGGGAGCAAACAGGAUUAGAUACCCUGGUAGUCCACGCCGUAAACGAUGAGCACUAAAAAGUCGGGGUUAUUCGGCUUUCAAGGUUAACGCGAUAAGUGCUCCGCCCUGAGUAGUACGUACGCAAGUAUAAAACUCAAAAGAAUUGGCGGACCUCGCACAAGCGUGGAUCAUG
rnacentral:rRNA from 1 species